GUUCGAUGAAUUCAUUUUAUAGGUUAAGUAAAAAUAAAAAAAGAUUGAAAAUUUUUCAUGAAUUUAUUUAGCUUAUAAGCUUUUUUUUUUAUUUAACUAUACUAUUUAGCUUACUAUUCUCGUAUUUUGCUUUGUGUUAAAAAUUUUAAAUGCAGAUAUAACAACUAAUAAAAGGAAAAUGUUAUGAAGUACAUUAAAGUAGUUAUGAAAACAUUAAAGUAUAUGCGAUAAUCAAUCCGGAAAUGAUAAUAAUUUUUCAGAUAUAUGAUAUCGACCGAUUGCAAAAUUGCAUCAAUGAUAUGACUUAAAACCUCUUGUGAUGUUAGAUGCGUUGCUUUGUUCUUUUAUUAUCAAAUCUAUUAUCGCAUUAACAACAAUAACAAGCUAAUAUACCGAUAUACUACUAUAAUAAAUCGACCUACAUAUAUAUAUUGAAAAUAACGUUCACGUUGAAUGGGUGUUGUCGGCGAAACGGUGCUGUUAUAUGUCUUACUGUAAGAAUGCUUUUUUUUGCCUAUAUAAUCGUUGGCUGCCUGACACGAGAGUUAUCACAACGGCCUACCGGUGAUCCGGAGCGGCGUCGUCGUCGUCAACUCACGGAAAUGUGGCGCCAAGAUAUUCGUUACAAAUACACUGUCAUUUAAAAAAUUUGAAUCAUUAACAUUUUUCAAGAAUUCGUAAUCAAAAAUUAGGUUAGAAUUAAAAAAUAUUAUGAAAGUGAAAAAGAAAAUAGAAAUUAGAUUAAGUUAGGUUAGGUUAUAAUCUCGAAAAAUUUCAGAAUUUAUUUGAAACUUUUUAUGAACAAUAUUUAAAAAAGUAUUUAUAUAUUCCAAAUAAAAAUCUUAUUAUUAAAAUACGAUUUCAAUAAUGAUAUUCGUAAUAUCAUUAUGUUUGUAUUAAAUUAUAACUUCAAUA